UCCGGUUGAUCCUGCCGGCACUGACUGCUAUCUGAUUGGUACUAGGCCAUGCGAGUCGUUGUAGCAAUACAAGGCGGACUGCUCAGUAACACGUAGUUAACUUAACCUAUGGAUGGGAAUAACCUCGGGAAACUGAGAAUAAUACCCAAUGGGCCACAGUGCCUGGAAUGGCCUGUGGUUGAAAUGAUUUAUCGCCGUAGGAUAGGACUGCGGCCUAUCAGCUUGUUGGUGAGGUAAUGGCCCACCAAGGCUAUAACAGGUACGGGCUCUGAGAGGAGGGGCCCGGAGAUGGGUACUGAGACACGGACCCAGGCCCUAUGGGGCGCAGCAGGCGAGAAACCUUUGCAAUGUGCGAAAGCACGACAAGGUUAAUCCGAGUGUCUCCUGCUAAAGGAGUCUUUUGUCAGUUGUAGAAUCACUGGUGAAUAAGGGGUGGGCAAGUUCUGGCGUCAGCCGCCGCGGUAAAACCAGCACCUCGAGUGGUCAGGAGGUUUAUUGGGCCUAAAGCAUCCGUAGCCGGUUGCAUAAGUUUUCGGUUAAAUCUAUGCGCUUAACGUAUAGGCCGCCGAAAAUACUGUGCAGCUAGGGAGUGGGAGAGGUACACGGUACUCGAUAGGACGGGGUCAAAUCCUUGAUCUAUUGAGACCCCUGUGGCGAAGGC
rnacentral:rRNA from 1 species